GACGAACGCUGGCGGCGUGCCUAACACAUGCAAGUCGAGCGGAGACAGUGAGUAGCUUGCUAUGAGCUGUUUUAGCGGCGGACGGGUGAGUAACGCGUGAGCAACCUUUCCCAGACAGGGGAAUAACACACCGAAAGGUGUACUAAUACCGCAUAAGACCACGGGAUCACAUGGUUCUGGGGUAAAAGAUUUAUCGGUUUGGGGUGGGCUCGCGUCCGAUUAGGUAGUUGGUGAGGUAACGGCCCACCAAGCCGACGAUCGGUAGCCGACCUGAGAGGGUGAUCGGCCCACAUUGGGACUGAGACACGGCCCAAACUCCUACGGGAGGCAGCAGUGGGGAAUAUUGCACAAUGGGGGGAAACCCUGAUGCAGCGACGCCGCGUGAAGGAAGAAGUAUUUCGGUAUGUAAACUUCUAUCAGCAAGGAAGAAAAUGACGGUACUUGACUAAGAAGCCCGGCUAAAUACGUAG
rnacentral:rRNA from 1 species